GUGCUGCCUUUGGCAGCACCUAUACUAAAAUUGGAAAGACGCAGAGAAGAUUAGCAUGGUCCCCGCACAAGGAUGACAUGCAAAUUCAUGAAAUUUAUAUGAAAUCA
ensembl:snRNA U6 U6 spliceosomal RNA